rnacentral:tRNA from 1 species
CGGGGCGUGGCGCAGUCUGGUAGCGCACCACACUGGGGGUGUGGGGGUCGUAGGUUCAAAUCCUGCCGUCCCGACCA